rnacentral:rRNA from 1 species
CGAGCAAUCUGCCCUUCACAUCGGAAUAACCAUUGGAAACGAUGGCUUAUACCGAAUAUGACUUCGGAUCGCAUGAUCUGAAGUGGAAAGCUCCGGCGGUGAAGGAUGAGCUCGCGGCCUAUCAGCUUGUUGGUGAGGUAAUAGCUCACCAAGGCGAUGACGGGUAGCCGGCCUGAGAGGGUGACCGGCCACACUGGGACUGAGACACCGGCAGA